rnacentral:rRNA from 1 species
GACGAACCGUGCGAACGUUGUUCGGAAUCACUGGGCUUAAAGGGCGCGUAGGCGGUCAGCACAAGUCAGUUGUGAAAUCUCCGGGCUUAACCCGGAAAGGUCAACUGAUACUGUGCGACUAGAGUGCGGAAGGGGCAACUGGAAUUCUCGGUGUAGCGGUGAAAUGCGUAGAUAUCGAGAGGAACACCUGCGGCGAAGGCGGGUUGCUGGGCCGACACUGACGCUGAUGCGCGAAAGCCAGGGGAGCGAACGGG